rnacentral:rRNA from 1 species
UAAGGAAUAUUGGUCAAUGGACGCAAGUCUGAACCAGCCAUGCCGCGUGGAGGAUUAAGGCCCUCUGGGUUGUAAACUCCUUUUAUCUGGGAAGAAAUGUACUUUUUCUAGAAUACUUGACGGUACCAGAGGAAUAAGCACCGGCUAACUCCGUGCCAGCAGCCGCGGUAAUACGGAGGGUGCAAGCGUUAUCCGGAUUCACUGGGUUUAAAGGGUGCGUAGGUGGGCAGGUAAGUCAGUGGUGAAAUCUCCGGGCUUAACCCGGAAACUGCCGUUGAUACUAUUUGUCUUGAAUAUUGUGGAGGUAAGCGGAAUAUGUCAUGUAGCGGUGAAAUGCUUAGAUAUGACAUAGAACACCAAUUGCGAAGGCAGCUUACUACACAAUCAUUGACGCUGAGGCACGAAAGCGUGGGGAUCAAACA